CGGGACGUAGCGCAGCCCGGUAGCGCGCCACGAUCGGGCCGUGGAGGCCCCGAGUUCGAAUCUCGGCGUCCCGACCA
rnacentral:tRNA from 1 species